rnacentral:rRNA from 1 species
GACGAACGCUGGCGGCGUGCUUAACACAUGCAAGUCGAGCGGAAAGGCCCUUCGGGGUACUCGAGCGGCGAACGGGUGAGUAACACGUGAGUAACCUGCCCCAGACUUUGGGAUAACCCUCGGAAACGGGGGCUAAUACCGGAUACGACACAGCUUCGCAUGGGGUCUGUGUGGAAAGUUUUUCGGUUUGGGAUGGGCUCGCGGCCUAUCAGCUUGUUGGUGGGGUGAUGGCCUACCAAGGCGACGACGGGUAGCCGGCCUGAGAGGGCGACCGGCCACACUGGGACUGAGACACGGCCCAGACUCCUACGGGAGGCAGCAGUGGGGAAUAUUGCACAAUGGGCGGAAGCCUGAUGCAGCGACACCGCGUGAGGGAUGACGGCCUUCGGGUUGUAAACCUCUUUCAGCAGGGACGAAGCGUAAGUGACGGUACCUGCAGAAGAAGCGCCGGCCAACUACGUG